rnacentral:rRNA from 1 species
AUCCAAGACAGAAUCUUAGUUCAACCUUAAGCCUUACCUAUAGAAACCACCCUAAUCCCCCUGGUAAGCUUAAUUGCUAGGUCGUAAAGAGGGACAGCUCUUUAGACACUAGGAAAAAACCUUAUAGAGAGAGUAAAACCCCCAAUCAUCAUAGUUGGCUUAAAAGCAGCCAUCAAUUAAGAAAGCGUUCAAGCUCAACACUAACCACCCCAAAAAAUACCAAACACAUAACUGAACUCCUCACACCACAUUGGAUUAAUCUAUCACCAUAUAGAAGCAAUAAUGCUAGUAUAAGUAACAUGAAUAUUUUCUCCACUGCAUAAGCCCAAAUCGGAUCGAAAACCUCACCGAUACCUAACAGCCAGGCAUAGCAAGCACAAACAAGCCCAUGCUACCUUCACUGUUAACCCAACACAGGCAUGCCUCAAGGAAAGGUUAAAAAAAGUAAAAGGAACUCGGCAAACUUAAACCCCGCCUGUUUACCAAAAACAUCACCUCUAGCAUCACUAGUAUUAGAGGCACUGCCUGCCCAGUGACACACGUUUAACGGCCGCGGUACCCUGACCGUGCAAAGGUAGCAUAAUCACUUGUUCUUUAAAUGGGGACUCGCAUGAAAGGCACCACGAGGGUUUAACUGUCUCUUACUUUUAACCAGUGAAAUUGACCUGCCCGCGAAGAGGCGGGCAUAAAAUAAUAAGACGAGAAGACCCUAUGGAGCUUUAAUCUAUUAAUGCAAUCAAAAAUUACACAAACCCGCGGACCUUUAAACUACCGACACCUGCAUUAAAAAUUUUGGUUGGGGCGACCUCGGAGCACAACAAAACCUCCGAAUAAUACAUGCUAAGACCACACAAGUCAAAGCGAACUAACACUUACAAUUGAUCCAAUAAUUUGAUCAACGGAACAAGUUACCCUAGGGAUAACAGCGCAAUUCUAUUCUAGAGUCCAUAUCGACAAUAGAGCUUACGACCUCGAUGUUGGAUCAGGACAUCCUAAUGGUGCAGCAGCUAUCAAGGGUUCGUUUGUUCAACGAUUAAAG